UUAUAGUAUUAUUUGAUUUUGACAUUAGUGGUUCGUUUGUGUCCAUGAUUUUGGAUCCGUGGUUAUUAUUAUGCUAAUUCUUUCACUUGAGUAAUUGUUUCCUUAACAAAUAACAAAGGAUCCAUAUUUCAUUUUAUUCUUUGGAUCGGUGGUUAUUAUUAUUUUCUUUUUGCACCACACUAUGUGUAUGGCAUCAUGAUUAAUAUGAUAAUCAUGUGAGCCAAUUUUUAUUUUGAUGGCUUCUUUUGGAUAUUUAUUAUUAUUUGGACAUGCAACGAAGUUAGCAUGAAUUUUUCCUUUCCAUUCCAUGAAUCGGUUUGGUUGGAAUUUUGAAUUUUUUGGACACAGUGAAAUAUUUGUUUGAUAUUUGAUAUUAAUAUCACAUUCUUGAUUUGGGGAAUGAGAUAAUUUUGAAAGAUCUCUAUAUAUUUGGUGAUUAACGUGAGAAUCAUAUGAGAUUGGAGCCUAAAAUAUUAUUUAACAAAAUCUCUUUUGAAGUGGUAACACUAAUAUGAAACAUUUUUGUUAAAGUUGGGAAGUUACUUUAGCCUCAAUUUUGUUAAUUAUGACACCAAAUAUGUAUUGCCUUAUUUCUAUAAACAUGCUG
rnacentral:lncRNA from 1 species